AAUGGGCGAAAGCCUGACGCAGCGACGCCGCGUGGGGGAUGAAGGUCUUCGGAUUGUAAACCCCUUUCGGGAGGGAAGAUGGAGCGAGCAAUCGUUCGGACGGUACCUCCAGAAGCAGCCACGGCCAACUUCGUGCCAGCAGCCGCGGUAAUACGAAGGUGGCAAGCGUUGUUCGGAUUCACUGGGCGUACAGGGUGUGUAGGCGGUUUGGUAAGCCUUCUGUUAAAGCUUCGGGCCCAACCCGGAAAGCGCAGAGGGUACUGCCAGGCUAGAGGGUGGGAGAGGAGCGCGGAAUUCCCGGUGUAGCGGUGAAAUGCGUAGAGAUCGGGAGGAAGGCCGGUGGCGAAGGCGGCGCUCUGGAACAUACCUGACGCUGAGACACGAAAGCGUGGGGAGCAAA
rnacentral:rRNA from 1 species